rnacentral:rRNA from 1 species
GUCUGGAAUAACUCUUUGAAAAGAGAGCUAAUACCGGAUAGUCUUGUCUCUUUAUUAGAGAAUAAGUAAAGCUAUAUGCGCUUAAGGAGGAGUUCGCGCUCCAUUAGCUAGUUGGUAAGGUAACGGCUUACCAAGGCCACGAUGGAUAACCGGCCUGAGAGGGCGAACGGUCACAAUGGAACUGAGAACGGUCCUUACUCCUACGGGAGGCAGCAGUGGGGAAUAUUGCGCAAUGGACGAAAGUCUGACGCAGCAAUGCCGCGUGGAUGAAGAAGGCCUUCGGGUUGUAAAGUCCUUCUGGUGAGGAAGAAUAAAAUGACUGUGCUCACAGAAAAAGCUACGGCUAACUACGUGCCAGCAGCCGCGGUAAUACGUAGGUAGCAAGCGUUAUUCGGAAUUAUUGGGCGUAAAGGGCGUGUAGGUGGUUUGAUAAGUCAGAAGUUAAAUUUUCAUGCUUAACGUGAAAACUGCUUUUGAAACUGUCUUACUAGAGUUUAGGAGAAGAAGGUGGAAUUAUCAGAGUAGCGGUGAAAUGCGUAGAUACUGAUAGGAAGGCCAAAGACGAAGGUAGCCUUCUGGACUAAUACUGACACUGAGGCGCGAAAGCUAGGGGAGCAAACAGGAUUAGAUACCCUGGUAGUCCUAGCUGUAAACGAUGGAUACUUGAUGUGGGAUAUCAUAUAUUCCGUGUCGAAGCUAACGCGUUAAGUAUCCCGCCUGGGGAGUACGAUCGCAAGAUUGAAACUUAAAGGAAUUGACGGGGACCCGCACAAGCGGUGGAGCAUGGGGUUUAAUUCGAUAUAACGCGAGGAACCUUACCAGAUCUUGACAUAUUAUGGAAUUGUUUGGAAACAUGCAAGUCUCUUCGGAGACCGUAAAACAGGUGGUGCAUGGCUGUCGUCAGCUCGUGCCGUGAGGUGUUGGAUUAAGUUCCGCAACGAGCGCAACCCCCACACAUAGUUGCCAGCAUUAAGUUGGGGACUCUAUGUGAACAGCCUGCGAUGAGCAGGAGGAAGGUGGGGAUGAGGUCAAGUCAUCAUGCCCCUUACGAUCUGGGCCACACCCGUGCUACAAUGGUUACUACAAAGGGCUGCGACGCAGUAAUGCUGAGCCAAUCCUUAAAAAGUAAUCUUAGUUCGGAUUGUAGUCUGCAACUCGACUACAUGAAGUUGAAAUCGCUAGUAAUCGUGAAUCAGAACGUCACGGUGAAUACGUUCUCGGGUCUUGUACACACCGCCCGUCACACCACGAAAGUUUUUUAUACCUGAAAGCACAACGCUAACCUUUAUUGGAAGCCUGUGAAUAGGGUGUGGGAGAUGAUUGGGGUUAAGUCGAAACAAGGUA